AUCAAGAGGUUGCUCAACUGUGGCUCAACAAACUCAACGGUGACGAGAACGAGGUCUACCGAAUCCAGUAUGUCUUGCUUCUCUUCUACGCUCUCCACCGCGGGAAACUCUCGUGUCCCUUCGAUCGACCCCCUCCGGAUGGGAAGCUCCCCAGGAUAUGUAAUGACAACGAUUGGAUCGUGUAUUAUGAGCGACGGAGAAAAUCUCCUAGCUGCAUCUGCCAUCCCUGCCUGGACAAGGACACCAAGGAGGUCUCGCCGUUGGAUAUCGUCCGGGCUGCAGUAUUCAGAAGUAGGCGAGAAAGUGAUGAGUGCAGACGCAAAGAUGAGGGCGCGUUUCACGAGUUUCAAAAUGACCGGUCGAGAUCGACGGAGCGCGUUUCCCGGACCCGCAGAGGGAGCAAUUUCCACCGCCAUGGUGCAGAAUUCCUUCAUUGGGACUGCGCCGAGACUCUCGCAAAGUGUUCUGGCAAGAAAACCCGAUGAAGGCGAUAGCAAAACCGCUAAGAAGAGCGAGAAAAGCUCCAGGAAGAACUCCGAGGAAGGCGUCGUGGAAAGCACCGAAAAGAUCCCUAAGGAAAAAGUCGUAAGGUGCUCUGAAGAACACCCCAAAAGAAAUGUCUCGACUUGUUCCAGGAGGAGCUCAGAUAAAAGCCCUGAAAAGCGCUCUCGUGAGAGCACUAAAAAGAGUGUUACAGGUAGCCUCGGGGAGGGCUUUAAAAACUAUUUUCGGAGAAAGUCAAGGGAGGGCUCCGAAAGAAGCCGCGGAGAGAGUCCGGAAGAGAUCCGCGGAGAAAAUCUAUGGAAAAAUCGAGGAAAGAGCGUCGUGGGGGGCCUCAAGGAGAACCCUGAAAAAGAGUUCAAGAGAAGAGCUUUGGAGAGCUUUGAGCAAUGGCCUGAGAGAGGUGGGCGGCAAAGGGCUGGAAAAGGCUCGAGCCCCAUGAAGAAUCUGGAGAACGCAGUCCCGAAGAGCACCGGGAGGAGUCCCAAGAGGAGAACAGAGGACAAAGUCUUCAGGAGCCCAGAAAAGAAGCCCGACACGAGUCCGGGUGAUAAAGUCAUGAAGAACUCAGUAAAAAGGUCCGAGAAGAGUCUGGAAGAUGGAGUUGCUAAGAAUCCCGGAAGGAGGCCCAGAGAGAAGUCAGAGGAUGGAGUCGGGAGGAAUCCUGGAAAGAGACCUGGAGAGAGUCCAGAAGAUGGACCUGCGAAGAGUCCUUGGAAGAGUCAAGAAGACAUAUCCGCGAAGAGCUCUGGAAAGAGGUCUAGAGAUCUUCUAGAAAAUGAAAUUGCGAAGAGCCCUAAAGAGAGACCUGGGAAGAGUUUGGAAGAUAAAAACCGGAAAAGGGAUAAGAGGAGCCCUAGAAAGAGUUCCCAGAGGAGCGUUGCGGAGACCCAACCGGCACGAGGAGACGAUGCUGGAAAGAGCACCGGUCCGAGACUGAUCGCAUCCAAGUCUUAUGUCACGUCAAAGGCCGCAGUGAGCGACACGAAAAUCGGCAAGAGUCUUUCAAUUCAUGUCGAUAUUCACCUGGAGUUUGACAAAUUCCACGGUCUCAAACUCAAACCUGGAGCCAAUUGCAGGGUCGUGCCGGGUCACAAUAGCUUACAUGAUAGCGCCAUAAAAAUGUUAUCAAAUCCUUCUCACACUGUGCCCGCAAAAGAUGCCAAUGAAGUUGGAAAUGACAUUAAGUCUGGGCCAACUGCAAAAGAAGUAGAAGAGGAAACGAAUAAAGAAUGUUUGAAAUUCGAACGUCAGAGGGCAAAGUGCUCUGUGGAAUGUAUGCUGAAACCGAAACGUGUCUUCGAUACGGAUGCCAAAAAAAUUGGCGAAAAUGACAAGAGGGGAGCCCAUGAAUGUGUGAAGGAUCAAGACUCUUCAAAUCCGAAGGAAAAUGACGCACUGCUCCUAGAUAAGCUUAAGUUCUGUUCAGAAGUUCGCCAUGGGGGCGGCAGUGAGGGGCCGGACCCGUGUACUGAAGCUGAUUCAAUGGAUCUAGAGGAUUCAUGCUCUCAAGAUACUGACACUCAUGAGUCUGACAAAUUUCACUUAAAGUCGAGUGGAAGUACGGCCAAACUCAAGAAUGGAAUUCGGUCCUCUGAAUUGGCGAGGGAAUCUUCUGAGAAAGCCUCUAAAGAGACAUCUGAGAACGCUUUUACGUGGACAUCUGAGACGCUCUGUACGGGAACCUCCAAGAAGACCUCUAUGGGGACCUUUACAUUCUAUCCUAGAGUGGGAUGGAAGGUAGUCAUAGAAGAUAAACCCUCUGGGAAUUUGCAACUUCAAAAAGGAUUCGACGGAAUGGAUCCAUACCAAAGGAACAUUGAUUUCAAGAAAUCUGUUUCAGACUCGCCUCCUAAGAAUGUGAUAACAAAAGAAUUCCACGAAACGGACCCAUUUCAUCGAAUCGUUGUUAAAAAAGAAGCUAUCAAAGGCUCGCCUUCUCAGUAUAAGAUAAAAAAAGAAUUCGACGGAAUGGAUUCGUACCAAAGAAACUAUGAUUUUGAGGAAUUCGUUAAAGAUUUGCCUUCCCAGGAUGAUACGAGACAGUCUUUAAAACCAAGAAGGUUGUUAAUGAAAGGAUCUCCUGGUAGACCAUCUGACGAUGAAGCUUUAGGGUAUAAAGAGAAAAGAAAAGUUUCAUUCCCAGAUCAGAAGACCUUGGAAGUUAAGAGAUUCGCAGAAAGUGGAUCGACUAGAAACAAACGAUACCCUGAUGUAAAGUCUUCUAGGUACGUCUCGAAGGCAAGCCCGGUUAUGGAAAAACUCACGGACAGCGAGGUCGUAGAGAUGUUCAUCAGCCAACUUGAAGAUAUGAAAAAAACUUACGAUUUUCACUACGAGCAGCUAAGGACCAAUCAGGCGAGUCCCACAACCGAAAGUUUCAGUGACAAGAAUCCCAAAGUUGAGAGUUCAGUGGAAAAGAAUCCCAGAGCCGAGAGUUUCAGGUCUGAAAAUUCAGAAAUCAAGAAUGAAAGAACCGAGAAGCGCGGGGACACGAAUCCCGGAACCGAUAGUCAAAGGAACAAAAAUCUCGAAACUCAGCGCCCCAGGAAACGAAAUUUUAAAAUGAAAAGUGAAGAGAUCGAAAAUCCCGGAACCGAGGCUCCUUGGAACGCAGAUCCCGAAACCCAGAGCCCCAGGUACUUGAAUUUCAAAAUUAAAAGUGAGAGACCCGAGAGUCCCUGGAAAAACAAUUCUAGAACUAAUAAGAGCCCCGGGUACAGAAAUCAUAGGGUCGAGUAUGCCGGAAUUGAGAGAUCUAGAAUCGAGAGUCCAGAGAAGAAGUAUCAUAGAAUGGAGAGUCCAGAGAAGAAGAAUCAUAGAAUGGAGAGUCCAGAGAAGAAGAAUCAUAGAAUCGAGAGUCCAGAGAAGAAGAAUCAUAGAAUCGAGAGUCCAGAGAAGAAGAAUCAUAGAAUCGAGAGUCCAGAGAAGAAGAAUCAUAGAAUCGAGAGUCCAGAGGAGAGGGAGAGGAAAUAUGGAAUGGAGAGUCUCGGAGAGAAAAAUCACGGACCCGAACGCCCUUGGAACAAGAAUUCCAAAAUCAAGAAUGAAGAAGCCGCGAGUUCCAGGAAUGAGAGUCCUGGAACUGGGAUCUCGAGGAACAAAAAUACCGCGAUUGAAAGUCCUGAGAUGAAAAAUCCCGAAAGCAAGAACGCCGCAACUGAGAGCUCCAGGAACAAGAAUGUCAGGACCAAAAAUCUCGGAAACAGGAACAUCGAAAGCGAGAGUUCCAGGAGCAAGAAUCUUGAACUUAAAAGUCCUGGAAACUCAAAUCCUGGAGAAGAGAGUCCCAGCAAAGAGGAUUCUGAAACCGAAAGUCCCGGCAACGUCUCCAGAUGCGACUCAGGAUGUGCCCCUGUUUCCGCUGAUGAAGUGUACGCGUUGAUGAGGGAAUUCGACGAGCUCAUCAAAUCUUUCAAUUAUUUCUCGGCCAUGCUCAAUCAUAUAAUUACCUGCAAAAAACGAGACUGCGUCAGGAAUUUAACCCGGAAGCCAAACUUUAGUUUCGUCCUCCCACCCAAGCUGCAUCAGGGUGAAGUGGCCCGAAUUCUGGAGGCUUUUGAAAAGAUGAUCGCGUCUUAUGAGAGGUUCAGGAGGGCUCUCCACUCUGAUGAGCCUCCUGUGGCUCGAGACAGCAAUGCCUGCACAGAGGAGCCCUGCCCCAUUAAGGUUGAGGUAGAGGAUGGCUUCUACAGGGAAGGUACCCCGCAAGAAGAAGCACCGCUCUCUGAAGAACGAGGUGAUACCGGAGAGGGUGGAUAUGCCAGAGCAAAGGAUGCGACUGAUAUCUAUAAACAAGUAUCACCGUCUGAAAAUAGUGCCCACGCCGCAGAGAAUGUCCACCUCGAUGCGAAAGCCCCCAUCGAAAGGCGUGAUAUUAUCAAAGAGGAACCUAUUUCUGAAGAAGAUAGCAUUCUUGAAGAGGACAGUUUUGCUGAAGGAGACAGUCUUGGUGAAGAGGACAGCCUGUUUGAAGAGGAAAGCCUUCUUGAAGAGGACAGUUUUUCUGAAGAGGACAGGUUUCUUGAAGAGUUCAAUUUUCGUGAAGGGAGAAAAUCUGCCGGAGAGGACGAUGAAACAUUAUUCUUGAAGAAAAAAACCAUGACAGAAUGCACCAUAUGCACCAAGAAGGUCCGGGAUUUCAAUGUCCCACAGUAUGGCAAUGGAAAAAACGUAAAGGGCGGCCAGAUUGGAACGAAAGGAAGCGAGUUCGAAGGUCAAGUACCUAUAAGACUACAUUCGUCGAAUUUAUUUGAGAGCAAUGGUCGUGGAGAAACGUCCGACCCGCAGACAAACUGUAUUUUCCCCGUCAAUCAUCGUCUUGACAAUAUCUUAGUCCAGAUUUCUCUUCUUUCAGCCCGCCACAAGGCUAGAAAUGUAGGCGCAAACCACCGGAACUAA
rnacentral:lncRNA from 1 species